GCUUGGGCCUUUGCCGGAGGCUUUUCCUCGGGCCUCCGGCAAAGAAGGAUUUGCCGACGGCAAAAAAGAGAGGCCUCCGGCAAAGAAAAGGCCUACCGAAAAAAAUAAAAAAGGCCUCCGGCGAAAAAAAGCCUCCGGCAAAGAACAAAAAGGCCUUCGGCAAAUAAGGCGUCCCACGUGAACUUGACCGGCGCCUAACGGGGAGAAAACGGACG
rnacentral:lncRNA from 1 species